rnacentral:rRNA from 1 species
CGAUUAGAGUUUGAUCAUGGCUCAGGACGAACGCUGGCGGCGUGCUUAACACAUGCAAGUCGAGCGAUGAAGCUCCUUCGGGAGUGGAUUAGCGGCGGACGGGUGAGUAACACGUGGGUAACCUGCCUCAUAGAGGGGAAUAGCCUUUCGAAAGGAAGAUUAAUACCGCRUAAGAWUGKAGUGCCGCAUGGUACAGCAAUUAAAGGAGUAWUCCGCUAUGAGAUGGACCCGCGUCGCAUUAGCUAGUUGGUGAGGUAMSGGCUCACCAAGGCAACGAUGCGUAGCCGACCUGAGAGGGUGAUCGGCCACAUUGGGACUGAGACACGGCCCAGACUCCUACGGGAGGCAGCAGUGGGGAAUAUUGCACAAUGGGGGAAACCCUGAUGCAGCAACGCCGCGUGAGUGAUGACGGUCUUCGGAUUGUAAAGCUCUGUCUUCAGGGACGAUAAUGACGGUACCUGAGGAGGAAGCCACGGCUAACUACGUGCCAGCAGCCGCGGUAAUACGUAGGUGGCAAGCGUUGUCCGGAUUUACUGGGCGUAAAGGGAGCGUAGGUGGAUAUUUAAGUGGGAUGUGAAAUACUCGGGCUUAACUUGGGUGCUGCAUUCCAAACUGGAUAUCUAGAGUGCAGGAGAGGAAAGUAGAAUUCCUAGUGUAGCGGUGAAAUGCGUAGAGAUUAGGAAGAAUACCAGUGGCGAAGGCGACUUUCUGGACUGUAACUGACACUGAGGCUCGAAAGCGUGGGGAGCAAACAGGAWUAGAUACCCUGGUAGUYCACGCCGUAAACGAUGAAUACUAGAUGUGGGGGUUGUCAUGACCUCCGUGCCGCCGCAAACGCAUUAAGUAUUCCGCCUGGGGAGUACGGUCGCAAGAUUAAAACUCAAAGGAAUUGACGG